rnacentral:rRNA from 1 species
UACAGAGGGUGCGAGCGUUGUCCGGAAUCACUGGGCGUAAAGGGCGCGUAGGCGGCCUGCUAAGUAGAGGGUGAAAUCCUGCGGCUCAACCGCAGGGCUGCCUUCUAAACUGUCAGGCUGGAGCACGGUAGAGGCAGAUGGAAUUCCCGGUGUAGCGGUGGAAUGCGUAGAGAUCGGGAAGAACACCAGUGGCGAAGGCGGUCUGCUGGGCCGUUGCUGACGCUGGAGGCGCGACAGCGUGGGGAGCAAACAGG